rnacentral:rRNA from 1 species
GUACACGCUGUGACUAGCAUAUCAAUAAGCGGAGGAAAAGAAACUAACAAGGAUUCCCUUAGUAACGGCGAGUGAAGCGGGAAGAGCUCAAAUUUGAAAUCUUCAAGGUUUUACCUUGACGAAUUGUAGUUUAAAGAAGUGUUUUCUGCUGAAGUUUUGGUAAAAGUUCUUUGGAAUAGGACAUCAUAGAGGGUGAGAAUCCCGUAUUUGACCAUUAUUUUCAGCUUUGUGAUACACUUUCAAAGAGUCGGAUUGUUUGGGAAUGCAGUCCAAAAUGGGUGGUAAAUUUCAUCUAAAGCUAAAUAUUGGCGAGAGACCGAUAGCGAACAAGUACCGUGAGGGAAAGAUGAAAAGAACUUUGAAAAGAGAGUUAAACAGUACGUGAAAUUGUCAAAAGGGAAGCGUUUGACACCAGUGUUGUUUUCUCGAAAAUCAAUUAAAAAUGGCUCGAUUUUGUAUUGCUGAGACCUUAAAAGCUCACUGUACAUUUUUCGUGUCUUUUUUAAUGCACUUUUCGUUUAACAAGUCAACAUCAGUUUCUUUUGUUGUAAAAGGGUCAUUGGAAGGUGGCUUUCUUUUCGGAGAAAGUGUUUAUAGCCUUUGGCCUCCUGCAAUCGAAGAGACUGAGGUCUGCAGCGUAGACUCUUCGGGGUUAGAUACAUUUGUGCUAAGUUAUAGCUUUUUAUAGACAACUUGUUGACUAUAAUUAGUCUUGUAGCUUACUCGCUUAUGCUAUUUUACCUACGCUUAGGAUGUUGAUCUACAGAGCGAGAGU